AAUACCCAAAAAUCAGAAACCCAUUUUUUCAAUUCCCAUUUAUUUUUCGUCACCUUCACCGUCAUUCUCCUUCUUCUUCCUUCUCAUUCCUUCUCUUUCUUUCUCAUGUAAACCGACCUUCCCUUAUCUCUAAAUCCUUCUCUUUUCCUUCUUCUUCUUUCGUAUAAUCAAGGUAUCAUCUCAACACGCCAUUUUCAAUUGAAUUCCACCUCUUCUUCCAUUCGAUGUUCAUUUAAAAUUAGGGUGGAGAACGGUUCUUUUGGCUUCGAAAUUUAGGGCAAAAACAAGCUUCAAUCAACAUCCGAGUUCACAAGAGACCACGUGUAUUUCUCAAUCUUCUUCUUCUUCCUCUGAAUUUCGAAAGGCUGAGUGAAAUCAGUGAGUUUUUUUCCCUUCGUGAUUUCUAAGUAAUUAUCUAAAUUUUUACAUUCUUGAUUAUUUUGUGUGAAUAAUGGCUAAUUGAUUAUCCUUGUUGCUCAUUUCUGAAAUUUGAACCACAAGAAGUAGCAAUCGAAAUCCUUCCCCUUGUCUUUGAAAAUCCGAUUUCCAUCUCGUUUUUUUGGUAGCUGGAACAGAAGGUAGUUCUCUUGAGCCUUCUCUGUUUUCUUGAUGAGUAUACUUUUAUUCAUAAGCUUUCCAUUGAAUAAUUUAUUAAUCAUGUGUUAAAACCUAAAUUUUAGUGAAUCUUGAAAUUUAUAUAAUUAAUUGGAUGAGUUAUGUUGAUUGGGAGUAUUAGCUGGAUAUGAGAUAUUGGAUAAUUAUUGUUAGGAAUUAGGAAUUUAUGGCAAAUAAUGAUGAUGAUAAGGAUGUCCUGAUUUUGGUUGGGUUAAUGAACUUCUCACGUAAAUGUUAGCUGUUCAUGGAGGUUUUGACAAUGAUGAUGACAAGUAAUUGAGUAAAGUGAUGCUCUUAGAUGAUAUAUUAGAUGUUUGUUGAUUUGAGAACUUGUUAUGGGUAUUAUGUUGAUUGAUAGAUUUAGGUGAAGUUGAAAUUAACCAUUUUGAUUAUGGAUACUCGUCAAGAGCUAAUUGUUAGAUGAUUUAAUAUUUUUGAUGGAUUAUUAAAUUCUUUAUGAGCAAUAGCGAUUGUGGGCUAGAAUGUUUACUUCCAGUUUAAUAAGAUGUAAAUGGUGAAUUAAAGAUCAAGUUUUACUAUUAUAUGAUGUUUAGAAAUGCUAAACCAAGAGUUAUGGGUAAGUAUCGAAUAAUUUGAUAUUCUUGAAAGUAUUAUGUGAUUCUUUGAGGAUUUCUAACAUUGAGUUUAUAUUGGUGUUGAAUUGGAAAUUUAUGGGAAGUGUGUAUUAGUUAGUUUUGUGAUGAUGAGAAUCUAGGUAUGGAUUAUGAUUUUGGUAGUAGAUUAUUGAAUGAUAUAGUUUGGUUAGUUCUGUAUUCUUGGGUAAAAUAGCUGAAUCUUUCUCUUGGGUAGUUUGUUAAUUUUGGUUUAGUGUCUUAGUUGAGUCUAAGAUGAGUGUGGAAGUGGUUGAAUUGAAGUACAAAGGGAAUUGUGGAGAUGUAUGAUCUUUAUAAGAAUAUAAGCUAGUCUUAAACAAGAAUUUGGGAUUUGGAGUUGGCAUUUGCGUAAUCUUUGUAAUUGGAAAUAUUAGAAUAGUUGGUGGAGCUAUGCGUUCUUAGGAUGAGUAGUAAUGAACUAUAUGAACCUAGCUGUAGUAUCGUAUGCGUUGUUGUGAUGCUGUAUUUGUUAUGCUUCGGGAAGCGACAUUAUCGAAGAGCCCUUCUAAUAAUUGCGGGGUAGCAGACUUGGCCUCUUGAAGCGUUCUUUUUGUCUUAUUACAGAUCAGAACCGGUCGAGAACGAUGGGUUAGCGGUGUUGAAUAGCGUUCAAAGGAUGUAUAUUGAGCUGAUCACGUAGGAAUUUGUAGAUUUGUAUUAGGAUUUUGGAUAAAUGUAUAUUUGUUUUGGCUGUGCUGGUUAUAUCAGACUUGUAGAGAAUUGUAUGAUUAUCUUGUGUAUUAGUUAGAUGUUGGUUUUGGGAUUUAGCUGAGUUAGUUACGUUGAAGAGCUUGUGAUCCCUUUGCUUGAGUUUUGGAAGUAUGAUUUCAGUUUCUUGGAAAACGAACCUAGUGAUGACCCUGUUUACCCAGUCAACGGUAAGUUGGGUUGUUACACCAAUGCUCGAUCAAGGCAAUGCUUCAUUACUUGAAUGCCUCAUUCAAGAAUCUUCUCAUUAACUAUUAUUCAUCAUCAAGGUUAUUAGGAUCGGGAUUUUACCUAGGAUCGAAAUCGGUAGAAUCGAAUCGUAGGAUCGUGUGAUCCUAAAAAUAUGCAUUAAUGGCUUUGGAUUACUUAUUAUCAAUUAUAUUUGUUAUCUUUUUAAGUUUUAAGGUGCAAGUAAAACCUUAUUUGA